rnacentral:rRNA from 1 species
UACAGAGACUGCAAGCGUUAUUCGGAUUCACUGGGCGUAAAGGGUGCGUAGGCGGUCGGGUAAGUCUGAUGUGAAAUCUCACAGCUUAACUGUGAAACUGCAUUGGAUACUAUCCGGCUAGAGGAAUGGAGGGGAGACUGGAAUACUUGGUGUAGCAGUGAAAUGCGUAGAUGUCAAGUGGAACACCAGUGGCGAAGGCGAGUCUCUGGACAUUUCCUGACGCUGAGGCACGAAAGCCAGGGGAGCAAACGGG